rnacentral:rRNA from 1 species
CCCUUAGAUGUUCUGGGCCGCACGCGCGCUACACUGACGAAGUCAGCGAGCAUGUCCUACGCCGACAGGUGCGGGGAAUCUUGUCAAACUUCGUCGUGAUGGGGAUUGAUUAUUGAAAUUCUUGAUCAUCAACGAGGAAUUCCUAGUAAGCGCAAGUCAGCAGCUUGCGUUGAUUACGUCCCUGCCCUUUGUACACACCGCCCGUCGCUCCUACCGAUUGAAUGUUCCGGUGAGCUCUUCGGACUGCGCGGUCUGCAGUUUCUGCGUUCCGUGCGGAAAGUUGCGCAAACCUUAACAUUUAGAGGAAGGAGAAGUCGUAACA